UUUGCAGUUCAGCUGGAACCUGGACUGUUGUAACAUCUGUGGGUUCCACUGCUGCACCAUCAGACUCUCCCUCUUUGUGGCAGGGGCAGGGUUUUUCACCAGCUGGGGAAAUGUACUCCUUCAGCAUCUGGCCUAUCUCUUUCACUAGAACCCCCACCCAGCCUGGGUGGUUCAUUUCUGAGAUGGGCUCUGGGGCAGGGGCAGGCUCUGGGCAGCAGCAUCCCUAGGCUCUGGGGUAGGUGUCAGAGUGGUUAUCCAGGUUAAUCUUCCUUUAUCUCAGAAUGCUAAAUAGAACAGGCCUAUCAACAACACCAACCACUGUAUGGUAUCUUUAGCAUUUAGAGUGGACCUGAACCCUUUGAAAACUGGUGGGGCAGACCCAAAGAGCUGGCUGAACAGCUGGGAGAAAAUUUCCCCCAGUGUCAUUUCCUCACACCCUUCAAGGCCUGAGUGAAGACAACAGCCCCUCCUGCAUAAGCAUAUUUGUUCAGGUGAUGUUCGAGGGAAGAACAGCAGAACUACUUUGAUCUGCUGGCCCAGAAGAAACAGUGGCUCUUUAAGACCUCCAGAUCCUUUGGAAGGUGACACCACCUGGAGACCAGAGUAGAUCAGCUGGAGCUCCAGGCACAGCUGAUGACUGGCACAACUGAGCCUGUGGGAAGCUCCCACAGCUCCUGCCUUCUCUCUUGCUGUUGACAGCUCCCUCCCUCCAGCCCGCAGAACCUGCCCAUCCCCUUUCUUCCCUCCCAGCUCAUCUCUUUCCUUUGCCUUCCAUUAAUAAACAGUUUGGCUUCUUUGCUUUACCUGCA